rnacentral:rRNA from 1 species
ACGAACGCUUGCGGCAUGCCUAACACAUGCAAGUCGAACGAGACCUUCGGGUCUAGUGGCGCACGGGUGCGUAACGCGUGGGAACCUGCCCUUAGGUUCGGAAUAACUCCCCGAAAGGGGUGCUAAUACCGGAUAAUGUCUUCGGACCAAAGAUUUAUCGCCUUUGGAUGGGCCCGCGUUGGAUUAGCUAGUUGGUAGGGUAAAAGCCUACCAAUGCGACGAUCCAUAGCUGGUCUGAGAGGAUGAUCAGCCACACUGGGACUGAGACACGGCCCAGACUCCUACGGGAGGCAGCAGUGGGGAAUAUUGGACAAUGGGCGAAAGCCUGAUCCAGCCAUGCCGCGUGAGUGAUGAAGGCCUUAGGGUUGUAAAGCUCUUUUACCCGGGAUGAUAAUGACAGUACCGGGAGAAUAAGCUCCGGCUAACUCCGUG